GGAAGGAGUUCUGCCUGUUUCUUGGGUUUGUUUUCCUCUCUCUUUAUCUUUGUCAUCACAGAAACAGAAAAAACACGUGGUAAAGCUCUGGGUCAGGUGAAAUUUCUAGAUUCUGCUGCCAGAUGCAUUUCAGGCCGGGGCAUUUCUUGCCUUGCACCCAUCCCAGGGCUCCCCUCUGAGGCCUUGUCUUCCCUCCCAUCUCCAUCCUCUCAGCCCUCCAGGCAAGGGGAGGGACCUCUCUGCCCAUUCGGGACUCCCCGAAAUAAGGCGGAGGUAGUGAACCCUCCCUGCUGGAAGUCUCCAAACCAGGCUCAUCCUACUGGUCCUUCAGUGAGCGGUCCUUCCGUUCCAUAUCCCCAACCUAUGGGGGCAGGCUCCCUCCACCUCCACCUUCCAGUCUGCCCUUUCCCUCUCCCAUUCUUUCCCCUCCAUCUGCUUCCUCUGACCAUCUCCAGCCCUUUGGUCCUGGGCACCCCUCUGGAGCAGGUGGACACCAUGUUCUGUUUCCCAGUGUUCACACCUCUCCAGUAUGAGAUUUGAAGAUGGCUCACAUGUUCUUUCCUUUGGUUUCUUGUUCCCCUGCCACUUGGGCUCAUCUUAGAGCCCAACACUGGCAUGGCGCAUGACCUGGGACACUCAGCACUGCCUGCCAAGUGGCUUUUUUCUUUUUUUUUUUACUGUCCCUGCCUGUCCCUUACCUGCUGGUGACCUGGGCAGGGGUGGAGGUGGGAGCUCAUGGAGUUGGCUGAGUUUGUUCAACAGCUGCCUCAGAAUGGAAAAGGUGAGGGCAAGGCUCUAACGUAUGGGAAAAACAAUGAAAACCAAGGAGUUCCGACUAAGAGAAUCCUGAGUUCAAGUCCACACACGACCAGUGACCAGCUGUGGAACCUCGGUGUCCUCAUCAUUUAAAAUGGGGAAGAUGACACCUCACACUUCAGGGUCAGAGGAGAUAAUGAAAAGGAAGAUGCUUGGGAAAUUGCUUUUCUUUAGUGUGUCUGACAGUGGGUCUCAGCAAUCUUUGCUGCCUGCAUGAAUACAAGGCAGGAGAAGAGAAGGGUGAGGAAGGAGGGAAGGAGAGAAGGGGAGAGGAAAGAAAGAGCAUGAAGCUUGCAGGGACCCCCUGCUUUUUCAAGCAUCAGAAUCUGAAGCAAACUGAACUUAGAGACUGCUGAGCUUGCAGGUUCUGGCUCCAAGAUUUUCUGUGUCUUAACUGUAAUUGGAUACUCACUGACAAAGCUUUUUUUUUUUUUU
rnacentral:lncRNA from 1 species